ensembl:lncRNA
AGUUAAACAUUAAGAUUAGGGCCUCAUUAUGAAUGGUUAAGGUUUGGGAUAGAGUUAUAACAGAAUGUUUAGGGCCUCAUUAUGAAUGGUUAAGGUUUGGGAUAGAGUUUAAACAUUAAGAUUAGGGCCUCAUUAUGAAUGGUUAAGGUUUGGGAUAGAGUUAUAACAGAAUGUUUAGGGCCUCAUUAUGAAUGGUUAAGGUUUGGGAUAGAGUUUAAACAUUAAGAUUAGGGCCUCAUUAUGAAUGGUUAAGGUUUGGGAUAGAGUUUAAACAGAAUGUUUAGGGCCUCAUUAUGAAUGGUUAAGGUUUGGGAUAGAGUUUAAACAGAAUGUUUAGGGCCUCAUUAUGAAUGGUUAAG